rnacentral:rRNA from 1 species
UACUUAGGGGGCGAGCGUUGUCCGAAGUUACUGGGCGUAAAGCGCGCGUAGGCGGCUUCUUAAGUCUGAGGUGAAAGGUUCAACGCUUAACGUGAACAGUGCCUUGGAUACUGGGGAGCUUGAGUGUGGCAGAGGAUAGUGGAAUUCCUGGUGUAGCGGUGAAAUGCGUAGAUAUCAGGAGGAACACCCAUGGCGAAGGCAGCUAUCUGGGCUAACACUGACGCUGAGGUGCGAAAGCGUGGGGAGCGAACGGG